UACAUGGGGUGCAAACGUUGCUCGGAAUCAUUGGGCGUAAAGCGCGCGUAGGCGGUUACUUAAGUCGAAUGUGAAAGCCCUCGGCUUAACUGAGGAAGUGCAUCCGAAACUGAGUAGCUAGAGUACGAAAGAGGGUCGCGGAAUUCCCGGUGUAGAGGUGAAAUUCGUAGAUAUCGGGAGGAACACCUGUGGCGAAAGCGGCGCACUGGACCAUAACUGACGCUGAGGCGCGAAAGCUAGGGGAGCAAACAGG
rnacentral:rRNA from 1 species